rnacentral:rRNA from 1 species
CCUACGGGGGACAGCAGUGAGGAAUAUUGGUCAAUGGACGAGAGUCUGAACCAGCCAAGUAGCGUGAAGGAUGACUGCCCUAUGGGUUGUAAACUUCUUUUAUAUGGGAAUAAAACAGGGUAUGCAUACCCUCUUGUAUGUACCAUAUGAAUACGGAUCGGCUAACUCCGUGCCAGCAGCCGCGGUAAUACGGAGGAUCCGAGCGUUAUCCGGAUUUAGUGGGUUUAAAGGGAGCGUAGGUGGAUUGUUAAGUCAGGUGUGAAAGUUUUCGGCUCAACCGUAAAAUUGCAGUUGAAACUGGAAGUCUUGAGUACAGUAGAGGUGGGCGGAAUUCGUGGUGUAGCGGUGAAAUGCUUAGAUAUCACGAAGAACUCCGAUUGCGAAGGCAGCUCACUGGACUGCAACUGACACUGAUGCUCGAAAGUGUGGGUAUCAAACAGGAUUAGAUACCCGUGUAGUC